rnacentral:rRNA from 1 species
AUGGUAGGAUAGAGGCCCACCAUGGUGGUAACGGGUAACGGGGUGUUAGGGCACGACACCGGAGAGGGAGCCUGAGAAACGGCUACCACAUCCAAGGAUGGCAGCAGGCGCGCAAAUUACCCAAUCCCGACACGGGGAGGUAGUGACAAUAAAUAGCAAUACGGGGUUCUUUAGGAUCUCGUAAUUGGAAUGAGUACAAUUUAAAUCUCUUAACGAGGAACAAUUGGAGGGCAAGUCUGGUGCCAGCAGCCGCGGUAAUUCCAGCUCCAAUAGCGUAUAUUAAAGUUGUUGCAGUUAAAAAGCUCGUAGUUGAAUUUCGGGGUCAGUAGGUCGGUCGUGCCACUGGUAUGAACUGGUUUUACUGAUUCCUCCCUCUUGAAGAACUGUAAUGCCAUUAAUUUGGUGUUGCAGGGAAUCAGGACUGUUACUUUGAAAAAAUUAGAGUGUUUAAAGCAGGCUUUAGCUUGAAUACAUUAGCAUGGAAUAAUGAAAUAGGACGUUUGAUCCUAUUUUGUUGGUUUCUAGGAUUGACGUAAUGAUUAAUAGGGAUAGUUGGGGGCAUUAGUAUUCAAUUGUCAGAGGUGAAAUUCUUGGAUUUAUUGAAGACUAACUACUGCGAAAGCAUUUGCCAAGGAUGUUUUCAUUAAUCAAGAACGAAAGUUAGGGGAUCGAAGACGAUCAGAUACCGUCGUAGUCUUAACCAUAAACUAUGCCGACUAGGGAUCGGAUGAUGUUAAUUUUUUAAUGACUCAUUCGGCGCCUUACGGGAAACCAAAGUGUUUGGG